CGGGGGGGGGCAAGCGUUGUUCGGAAUUACUGGGCGUAAAGGGCGCGCAGGCGGGCGGGAAAGGUCUCUCGUGAAAUCCCACGGGCUCAACCGUGGAACUGCGGGAGAUACUACUCGUCUUGAGUUCGGGAGAGGAGUGUGGAAUUCCCAGUGUAGCGGUGAAAUGCGUAGAUAUUGGGAGGAACACCGGUGGCGAAGGCGGCACUCUGGACCGAUACUGACGCUGAGGCGCGAAAGCUAGGGGAGCAAACGGGAUUAGAUACCCCGGUAGUCCUAGCUGUAAACGCUGAGCACUUGGUGUAGCGGGUAUCGACCCCUGCUGUGCCGAAGCUAACGCAUUAAGUGCUCCGCCUGGGGAGUACGGUCGCAAAGGCUG
rnacentral:rRNA from 1 species